GGGUGAGUAACACGUAUGUAACCUGCCCUCUGCAGGGGGAUAAGCGGAAGAAAUUCCGUCUAAUACCGCAUAAUACAAUUUGGAGGCAUCUCCGGGUUGUCAAAGGAGUGAUCCGGCAGAGGAUGGACAUGCGGCGCAUUAGCUAGUCGGCGGGGUAACGGCCCACCGAGGCUACGAUGCGUAGGGGUUCUGAGAGGAAGGUCCCCCACACUGGUACUGAGACACGGACCAGACUCCUACGGGAGGCAGCAGUGAGGAAUAUUGGUCAAUGGGCGGAAGCCUGAACCAGCCAAGUCGCGUGAGGGAAGACGGUCCUAUGGAUUGUAAACCUCUUUUGCAGGGGAGCAAGGCGCGGUACGUGUACCGCGAAGGAGAGUACCCUGAGAAAAAGCAUCGGCUAACUCCGUGCCAGCAGCCGCGGUAAUACGGAGGAUGCGAGCGUUAUCCGGAUUUAUUGGGUUUAAAGGGUGCGCAGGCGGACUGUUAAGUCAGCGGUAAAAUGUCGGUGCUCAACACCAGCCGGCCGUUGAAACUGGCAGCCUUGAGUGAGCGAGAAGUAUGCGGAAUGCGUGGUGUAGCGGUGAAAUGCAUAGAUAUCACGCAGAACUCCGAUUGCGAAGGCAGCAUACCGGCGCUCAACUGACGCUCAGGCACGAAAGCGUGGGUAUCGAACAGGCUUAGAUACCCUGGUAGUCCACGCAGUAGACGAU
rnacentral:rRNA from 1 species